AUAAGGAGCUUGCUCCUUUGACGUUAGCGGCGGACGGGUGAGUAACACGUGGGUAACCUACCUAUAAGACUGGAAUAACUCCGGGAAACCGGGGCUAAUGCCGGAUAACAUAUAGAACCGCAUGGUUCUAUAGUGAAAGAUGGUUUUGCUAUCACUUAUAGAUGGACCCGCGCCGUAUUAGCUAGUUGGUAAGGUAACGGCUUACCAAGGCGACGAUACGUAGCCGACCUGAGAGGGUGAUCGGCCACACUGGAACUGAAACACGGUCCAAACUCCUACGGGAGGCAGCAGUAGGGAAUCUUCCGCAAUGGGCGAAAGCCUGACGGAACAACGCCGCGUGAGUGAUGAAGGGUUUCGGCUCGUAAAACUCUGUUAUUAGGGAAGAA
rnacentral:rRNA from 1 species